rnacentral:rRNA from 1 species
AUGAGUAGUACAACUCUCUCUAUUUGCUCCUAGAAUGUAAGAGGCUUAGGCGAGGAAUCAAAAUGCGCUGAUAUCCUCUCUGAACUAAUUAGUAUCAACCCUCAUUGUGCACUCUUACAAGAAUCUAAGUUAAAUGACAUUAAUGACCGAAAAUUCAACUCCUUCCUACCGCGUUGUCUCGACCAAAGAAUUUUCUUACCGGCGAACGGUUCGGCCGGUGGAACGAUCUCCGCCUUUAAUAAAAAUUAUUUCUCCCUAAUCUCCUACUCCCAUCAUACGUAUGCAACAUCCAUUAAACUCACGUCACUCGCUCACCCCCUCCCCUUUGUCAUCACAAACAUCUAUGCCCCCUCAAAUCGUAACCUCAAACGGCCAUUCCUCAAUGAGCUCAAUUUAAUUAAAGAGGACGACCACACCCCGUGGCUAAUUGUCGGAGAUUUCAACCUCAUCCGUUUCUCCCACGAAAAAAAUAAACACAACUUUCGCCAACGGGAUGCAGACGCCUUCAACUCCACGAUCAACACCCUAGCACUAAUCAAACUACCCCUACUAGACAUACGCUUUACUUGGUCCAACAAACGAGCUUCACCAACACUCGAACGCCUAGACCGAGCUUUCUUCAAUCUGGCUUGGAAUAAUGUCUUCCCCAAUACAACUCUGUCAUCUUUGCCACGAAUUACAUCGGAUAACGUUCCACUAAUUAUAAAUAUUCAAACAACUGUCCCAAAACCAUGCCACUUUAGAUUCGAAUCAGCAUGGACUCUCUCCACUGCUUGUCAGCAAAUAAUACAAAAAUGUUGGGCCCCAAACCAACGAUUAACAUCCGCCACUGCCCUUGCGAAAGCUCUAAAAAACAAGGUAUGA